rnacentral:rRNA from 1 species
AACGUAGGGGACAAGCGUUAUCCGGAUUUACUGGGCGUAAAGCGCCCGUAGGCGGCCUGACAAGUUGGACGUGAAAGCUCCUGGCUUAACUGGGAGAGGCCGUUCAAAACUGUCAAGCUAGAGUCUGGAAGAGGAGAGCGGAAUUCCCGGUGUAGUGGUGGAAUGCGUAGAGAUCGGGAGGAACACCAGUGGCGAAAGCGGCUCUCUGGUCCAAAACUGACGCUGAGGGGCGAAAGCGUGGGGGAGCGAACGGG